AUGGCCGGGCGGGGCGCCGCCGUGCCUGCGCAGCUAGCGGGGAGCGCCCGCCCCACGGGCUCCCCCAUGGCGGCGGCCCCCGUGGGGGGGGAGGCGGGGGGUAGGGAUAGGGCCCCGCGCCCCGUGCCCACUGUCCAGAGAGAAGGUGGUACAUUGGAUGAGGCGAUGAGAAAAGAUCUUUUCACAGACACCUUCUGUAAAGUGUGUGGGGCUGUGCUGCAGUUUGAGUCACAAAGAAUUUCACAUUAUGAGGGCAAAAAGCAUGCUCAGAAAGUUCGCCUUUAUUUUCAAAUGCACAGUGAACAAGAUGAUGGACAAGAAGCUGGCAAACAGAAGAGACAAGAUUAUGUGAACUUUCAGGUGGAUGGGAGUGGAGUAGUGGACAAAAACAAAUAUUGCAAUCUUUGCAACAUGAUUUUUACUUCUCCAGUUGUUGCUCAGUCUCAUUACCUGGGAAAAAUACAUGCCAAAAAGCUGAAGCAAUUAUCAGGAGACCAACCUCAAGUGCCUGCACAGAGCACUCAACCACAAACAGGUUCCCCCACUGGUCCUUCUACAUCUCUGGCACUACAGCAGCCCUCAGCUGAGAAGCUCUCCCAGGAUUCUAAUGUUGAAGAGUCCACGUCAUCCUCAAGCAUUGCUUUGGAUUUAAAUGAUCCAGACAAGUAUUGCAAGCUCUGCUCAGCUCCCUUCAAUAAUCCAUUGAUGGCCCACCAACAUUAUGUUGGCAAGAAGCACAAAAGGAACGAAGCACGGAAGAAGAUGAUGGCGGAGAUGGGAGAGGACGCUGUUCCUGCGGAAUCCAGUGCAAAUGCAGUUGGAGUUGGUAACUACAUAUGUCCUAUAUGUAACAUCACUCUUACAUCUAUAGAAAUGUACCAGUCCCACAUGCAAGGAAAUAAACAUCAGAUUAAAGAAACCAUGGUUGUCAACCUCAUAAAGAAUUCAAAGAAAACAUAUGACUCCUUUCAAGAUGAAUUAGAAGAUUACAUUAAAGUGCAAAAAGCUAGAGGACUGGAACCAAAAACAUAUUUCAGAAAAGCAGAAGAGGAAGAGUUUGAAAACUACGAGUCAGAAGCAGUAAAUGAUUGUGAUGAUAUUGUAUCUUCCAAUGUUACUUUUGAACAAGGACAGCAUUCCAUCCUCUUCUCAGAAACAUAUAUGUCAUCACAUGCUGUUGAAAACAGAUCGCUGUGCUGGUCACCAGCUCAUGAGAAUAGGUUAAGACUAGAAAACAUGGCUAAAUGCCAUGACAGCAAGGAAUAUUAUUCAGAAAUGCAAACAUCUCAGGUGAUCCCUUUCAAAGAUGACAGCUAUGGCCUAUCAUCUGCAGAAUCCAGUGACUGCUACAAACGCAUCUCUUCUGAUAAUAGCACCCGCUCCUAUAGGAAAGGCCAAAAGCUUCGAAGGAAACAUGAAGAGGGGGAAAGACACACUGGGGAAGGAAAAGAAAAAUCCAACAAAGACGCCACAAAGCAGAAGAAAAAGGAAAACAGUGAAGACACAGAUUCUGGAAAGGACAGUGAAAUGCAAAAGCGAAGAAAGAUUGAUAUAGAUUCAACUCACGAGAAAAAAUCAAAGCACAGUAAAGACAAAAGAAUUAAAGAAAUACCCACUGAGAAGGAGAGUAGAAAGCACAAAAAGGAUAAAAGGAAACCACAGACUGAUGGAAAAACAGAAGAAGAGAUACUUUGGGAUGAAUCUAUCCUGGGAUUCUAAUAGAGGUUUUGAUUAACUUUAUGAAGUUGGUAUUUUUUGUAGUCUCUCUUAACCAUGGUGUACUAUGUUAUGACUCAGUAAUUUUUGCCCCACUCUAUGGAAGCGAGAAAAAGGCUGAAGUCUGAAACUAUUGGGUAGUAGCUUAGCAGAUGAAAGAAAACAAUCUCUCAUCCUAAGGAAAGAGGAGAGCUAUGGGCAGACCACACACAUCAGCCACACUCUUCUCUAUCCGCUGUCUCCUCAGCCGUUCAUGUGGCAAAGGUGUUAUGUAGGCUAACACGUGCAAAGCUGUGCGCACAGUGUGCAGCUUGGCUGUGCGGAGCGAGUGCUUGCAAGGCAUCAGUGGGCCCAUGAAAAUGAGCUUCCCAUCACUUCUGUGCUAUGCUAGCUGGCUUGAUUUGUCGCAUUCACCAUUGAAUAAUGCUGGUGCCUGCCUAUGGAGGUACGCCACAUCCUUUUUCAUGGUUGCAGAAGCAGUGCUGGAGAGGCCUUCAUCCCUGCUUUGAGCUUAGAAUGCCUGGUGUACAGAGCAGAGAAACAACACAGGCGAGAGGCUAUCUCAGCAUCCCAGAUGAGUUGCCCAACUUUCUACCUAAUUCUUCUGAGAACGUUAAUCCAGAUGAUCUCAUUGGUCCACCAAGCAACAACCUUCUUUCCAGUCCAUAGUUGAGGCUCACUUCUUCAGUUGUGCCCUCAAGAAAUGAGCAAACAAUUAUAUCUACAUUACUCUAGGGGGAAUUCUGCGCCAAAAAAUAAAAAAUUCUGCAACAAAAAAUUAAAAAGUAUGUGCACAAUAUUUUAAAAUUCUGCAUAUUUUAUUUGUCAAAAUAACACAAUAUAAUCCCACCAGUUCCAAUUAUUUUUGGUCAUUUAUUUCAAAAUACUGUCAGCAUGUAUGUCUGUAACAAGACCAACAAAAAAGAUUCAGGAAAUGUUUUUUGACAAAUAAAUUCCUUACUAGGCAUAUUAAUUCAGAAUUCUGAGUAAUAAUUCAUUUAAACUACAGUACAGAACCAUUUCCCGCACCUCUCAGAAGCAGAACAAAGGUUUGGAGGAGUCGGGGUAAUGGAGGAGCUGAGGGAGAGGGAAGUAAAUUGCUGGGAAGAAGCCUCGGUGCCAACUUGGAGGGUUGUUGGGUCGGGGGGCAGAAAUGUAUGGAAUGGGUGGUUGUUGUUUUCUUGUUUUUUUGUUUGGGGGGGGAGGGCAAGAAAGGAUUGUUAGGGAACUUCCCCCAUGCAGACCCUAGCUGACCCCUAGCCUCUCCCAUUGAGUCAGGAACAUCUGCUCCCGUCCCUGAUGUGUCCUUGCACCUCCCCCGCCCCAUCCACAUGUGUCCCUCCACUCCUACUCUAACUCGCACUCCCCCCAUUCCCAUGUGGCCCUGUACCCCUCGCCCAUCCCUAUGUGGCUCUGAACCCCAUCCCUGUGUGACUGUGUCCCCACCCAUCCACUCUCCUGUCCCUAUGUGUCCCUGUACCCUCUCCCCCUUCUCCAUAUGUCUGUGUCUCCAUUCAGCCACCCUCUGUCCCUAUGUAGCUCAAGCACCCUCCCCCAUUACCAUGUGGUCCUGCAACUCUCUCCCCCUGUGGCUCUGUGCCUCCACUCCUAUUCAGACCAGUCUGUCCUCCCCACUAGCCCUUAUGAUCCCCUUUCUGACCCCCCAGCACCCCAUGCUGUCUCCCCAUAGCCCCUAUAUUCUGACCUGGCCUGACAGGCACUAUGAAGAAGGCAGGUUUUUUCUCUUCCCCUAGCUGGCUGGGCGCUGCUGCUAUGUUCUAGCAUCACAGCGCCCUCUGGUGGGCAAAAGGCAGAACUACAGCAACAUUUAGGCAGAAGCCUUUUUCUGCACAAAAAAAUAAAAUUAUGCAUGGCUUAUUAAUUAUGUGUGCGUACAGUAGCGCAGAAUUCCCCCAGGAAUACUACCUGCUUAUAAUACCUGUUGAUCGGUCAUGCUGUGCAUGCACGUGUGCUACAUCACAUGUGAUUGUAUUGCUCUGUCCCUCCUUUACUGCUUUGUUACCGUCACUUGUUUGGUCAUGUCCCUUUCUGUACAUCCUGUGAAGUGUUUGGCAUGAUUUGGAACAAUGUAAAACAUCUACUACUAACAAUGAACUGAGUGAUAUACAACCUCAGACCCUAUGCCCAGCUACUAGGACUAGCAGGAGUAAAAUAUUUUUAUUUUUGUCGUUAAAGCCAGCCCUUGUGUUUCUGAACAUUAACAGAGAGCAGAUCCACUGAGUAAGGAGGUGUCAUUUCUACCUAAUCACUUUUCAUAAUCUGAUGUGUAUGGGAUAACUCUUUGCACCUCACUGGUGCAUAAACUGAUUUUAUUCUGAACAUCCAUCAUUAUUAUUUAUUUCAUAGAAUGCCUUAUAUGUUCACUGCUUUACACAAUGUGUAAGGACAAAAGGUCCUUGGCUCAAAUUAUAAUCUCACUCGGACAAAUAUAAUACACUGUGCAAUUCAGGCCUAGAAAUACAAAGAGAUCUUGUGUGGAAGAAGCACAGGAAGGUUCUCACCAAAGCAAUGACUUUUCAGCAGUGGAAGAUUUGAAGGAGGAGAUUAAGUUGUUUUGACAUGUGGGAUGCAGAAGGCUGCUUCAGGCCUAGGGGCCUGUUUGAAAAAAGGCUUGAAGUUAACAAUUGGAGAAGUAGAUAAAAGGAUCCGUGAGGAGAGAGGGAAGAGAAGAGCCUAAGGAUCUAGAGAAAAUGAAAAAUGUAAGAGCUGUUGCAAAGACUUGAAGCUUGAGGAGGAGAAAUUCAAACAGGAAGUGAAAUCGGUCUAAAAGGUUUCAAGGGGAACUGGAGGGGCUUAGCUCAAAGUGACAGCAGAGAAGAAACCAAGCAGCCACAUCAACAAAAUAAUCCCCUAUUCAAAUGUUUUCCUGAUACUAAAAAUUAUGUUAAAAGAUGCAGAAAAUUCAUUGAAAUUACAUGUUUAAAAUCAGUGGUAGUGUUUCCUAGCUCUGUUACUCACCUGCUGACCUACCUUGACCCAGGUUAGCUUAUCCUAGUGGAGGUUAUGACUAGAGAUGGCUGGAGGGCAAUAAUUCUGUUUUGUAGCAACUUUUUGGAACAAAGCCAAAACUUUUCGGAAUGAUUUUGUGAAAACAGAAUUAUGUCAAAAUGUUCAUUUUCAAGUAAAACCUGAGCUUUUUGAUCCUAGAAGGUGUGACACAUUCUGUGGCCUGGUGGGUAGGGCCUGGGAUGGGGGAGACCACCAUUCAAGUCUCUGCUCGGAUUGCCAGAAGAGAUUUUCAUCCUAGAUCUCUCUGAGUCAGGCAGGGAAGAGACUUGAACCUGGAUGUCCCACAUCCCAGUGGCCUCGCCACCAGGUUAUAGAGGUAUGAUCAAUAGAAAGAAAGACUGAAUGUCUCAAAAUAUCAUUUAAAUUUCAUUUAGUCCAAAAUGUUCAAAUCAGUUCUAGUUAAGUGACUUGAUCAUGGUCUACAAGUACAUACGUGGGGAAGAGAUUUGUGACAGUAAACACCUUUAAGAGAAGGAGACACAACAAGAUCUAGUAGCUGGAAGCUGAACGUAGACAAAUUUAGACUAAAAAUAAGGCACAAUUUUUUAAGAGUGAAGGUAGCUCACUAUUGGAACAACUUAUUUAGGGGUGUGAUCCAUCACUUGAAGUCUUUAAAUCCAGCCUGGUUUUCUUUCUAAAAGAUACGCUAUAGCUCAGACAAGCUAUGGGCUUGACGCACAAACUACUGGGUGAGUUCACUGGCCUGUUAUGCAGGCGAUCAGACUAGAUGAUCAUAACUGGUUCUUUCUGGGUCCUUGAAUUUUUCCAAUCUGUAAAACUGAGAUAUAGUUAUGUACCUGCCUUUCUAAUGCACUUUGAGAUCUACAGAUGGCAAGGGCUGUAUAAGAGCCAAAUAUAACUAUUAAUAUUCAUUGUAUAUUAAAGUGUUAAAGUUGCUUAACAAACAUUUGCAUGGUAUUCUGAAUAUUUUUAUUAUAAAGUAAUGCACAUUGGAAAAAUUAAUCCCAAAUAGACAUACAAAAUGAUGGAUUCUAAAUUAGCUGUUAUCACACAAGAAAGAUCUUGGCGUCAUCAUGGAUAAUUCUCUGAAAACAUCUGCUCAAUGUGCAGCAGCCAUCAAAAAAGCUGACAAUGUUAGGAACCACUAGGAAAGGGAUAGAUAAUCAAAGACAGAAAAUAUUAUAAUGCCACUAUAUAAAUACACGGUACAACCAUAUCUUGAAUAGUGCAUGCAGUUCCGGUCCCCCCAUCUCAAAAAAGAUAUAUUAGAAUUGGCAAUAGUACAGAGAAGGGCAACAAAAAUGAUUAGGGGUAUAGAACAACUUUCCUAUGAGGAGAGAUUAAAAAUACUGAGACUAUUCAUCUUGGAAAAGAGAUGACCAAGGGGUGGGAUAUGAAGGAGGACUUUUAAAUCAUGUCUGGUGUGGAGAAAGUGAAUGGGGAAGUGUUAUUUACCCCUUCACAUAGUAAAAGAACCAGAGAUCACCCGUUGAAAUGGAUAGACACCAAGUUUAAAACAAAGAUAAGUACUUCUUCGCACAACACAGUCAACUUGUGGAACUCAUUGCCAGAGGAUGUUGUGAAGGCCAAAAGUAUAACUGGAUUCAGAAAAGAAUUAGAUAAGUUCUUGGAGGAUAGGUCCAUCAAUGGCUAUUAGCCAAGAUGGUCAGGAAUGCAGCCCAAUGCUCUGGCUAUCCCUAAACCUCCGACUGCCAGAAGUUGGGGCUGGUAGACGGGAUGGAUCACUCAGUAAAUUGCCUUGUUUUGUUCAUUCCCUCUGAAGCAUCUGGCACUGGCCACUGUCAGAAGACAGGAUGCUGGGGUAGAUAAACCAUUGCUCUGACCCAGUAUGGCCAUUCUUAUGUUCUUAUGAUUGUAUUUCCUUUGAGUCUCUGUCUCAUAAUUAACAAUUAGUUAAUUGGGUUCAAGUCUUUCAAACACUUGAGAAAAUUUAUUUGUGUGCAGAAGUGUUUGCAGGAUUGGGCACCUCUUGUUUCUCGGCUGGACACCAUUGUAAAUGAGGACUUGUUCACCAAUGGAUUUUCCUGGGUUCAGUAAAGUUUUUAUUCCUGUUUUUAAACAAUAAUUGCAAUGCUGUGGUUUUCAAUAUGAUUAAUUUUUUUGCCUUGUGUAUUAUAUUAAAUCAGAUUUCAUGAACUUUAAUAAAUGUUAUGAUUAUAUUUAUAGAUGUUCUUAAUCUAGAAAUAAACAUUUUAUUUUCUUUGGA